rnacentral:rRNA from 1 species
AACGAACGCUGGCGGCAUGCCUAACACACGCAAGUCGAACGAGAUCUUCGGGUCUAGUGGCGCACGGGUGCGUAACGCGUGGGAAUCUGCCCUUUGGUUCGGAAUAACAGUUGGAAACGACUGCUAAUACCGGAUGAUGACGAAAGUCCAAAGAUUUAUCGCCAGAGGAUGAGCCCGCGUAGGAUUAGCUAGUUGGUGUGGUAAAGGCGCACCAAGGCGACGAUCCUUAGCUGGUCUGAGAGGAUGAUCAGCCACACUGGGACUGAGACACGGCCCAGACUCCUACGGGAGGCAGCAGUGGGGAAUAUUGGACAAUGGGCGAAAGCCUGAUCCAGCAAUGCCGCGUGAGUGAUGAAGGCCUUAGGGUUGUAAAGCUCUUUUACCCGGGAUGAUAAUGACAGUACCGGGAGAAUAAGCUCCAGCUAACUCCGUGCCAGCCGCCGCGGUAA